rnacentral:rRNA from 1 species
UACGUAGGGGGCUAGCGUUGUCCGGAUUUAUUGGGCGUAAAGAGCGUGUAGGCGGCCAGGUAGGUCUGCUGUGAAAACUCGAGGCUCAACCUCGAGAUGUCGGCGGAAACCAUCUGGCUAGAGUCCGGAAGAGGAAAGUGGAAUUCCUGGUGUAGCGGUGAAAUGCGCAGAUAUCAGGAAGAACCACCCGUGGCGAAGGCGGCUUCUGGGACGGUAGCUGACGC